UGAACUCGUCGCUGCCGUCAGAGGGCGCCGUCGAGCCCUGCAGUUUGCCGCCGACUCCCCCUCAAAAAACCCUAGUUCUUCCUCCCCAAAUCGGACCUCGCCGCCUCCCUUGCUCCCCAUUUUCGCCGGACGCCUGACUUACGGAAGGAUAGCUACAAACUAGAUUGGUGCUACGGGCAAGAACAGACCACUGGUGAUAUUUUCUCCCGAGAGAUUAAACCUCUCCUUGAGGGAAUUCUCAAAGGAGGUAAUGGUUGUUUGAUUGCUUAUGGUGCUCAAGGAAGUGGGAAGACACAAUUAGUUCAGUUGACUUCAAGUUGCGGGUGUAUUUGAGAAGUUACGCUCUUGAGCAAAUGGUGCAAGCAACAAGCUCUACUGCUGGACUCAAAACCAUCAAGAGAGUUGAUCAGACUUUGCAGGAUCUUGGAGAAGUGCAAAAUAGAGAUGCUGAAGCUGCAAACCAUGACAGUUCAUAUACAGAAGCAUCAAGCACUCCUAAGAAAAAUGCAUCACCUGGUGGGAUGUGGCAUAUAGAUUUCUAUUUUAUAUUUUCUGAACGGCAGCGGAGCGACCUCCAAGUUCCAGAACGAUGUCGCGCUCCUGCUCUACGGAUUGUAUCAGCAAGCGACCGUGGGGCCUUGCAAUACAGCGAAACCUUGGGCUUAUUAUCCAAUGGAGCACGGCAAGUGGACUAGCUCGAACAAGAAACCCACUCCCAGUUGCUAGUUCUCUCUCGAUAACCGUUUCCGAUGGUGAUCAAAGCCUCCCGAUCCGCUCACAAGCAUUCGAUUGCAGCCAAGGCGGUCAUCAAGAAGAUCCAAUGUCGCAUAUGCAAAAAGUGCUUCCCCAAGUCUUAAAUGGUUUCUCACUACUUGGACGUGCAUCCGCAGUACAAGCAUUUGUGCACCGUUUGCUAUAACGGCUACAAAAGGGAGUCCGAGAGGAUCGUUCAUGAGAAGGAGCACGACAAGGAGGACGCUGAGGUUGUCAACCUCAAGGCGGCGAUCAGGGCUGAUGAGGAGCAGAACGCCGGAGAGCAUGAGGAGAUUGAAGAGGAGGAUGCUUAGAUCAUGAGCUUAUGGUAAGCAAGUAGUAGUUAAAUAAUGAGUUAGAAUUAUAUAUCUAAUCUUAAUCUCAAGUUGCUUUCAGAAUAUCGAACAGAUCUGGUUCCGUUGGUUGCUAUUGAUGAAACGUAGUUGUUUGAUUUGUUGAUCUGGUUCCGUUGGUUGCUAUUAAUGAAACUUAGUUGUUUGAUUUGUUUGAUAUGAUCUUGUAUCGAACAGAUCUGGUUCCGUUGGUUGCUAUUAAUGAAACUUAGUUGUUUGAUUUGUUUGAUAUGAUCUUGUUUCUGUUUGAUCUUAAUUUUGUUGCUAUUUUUGGGUUUCUUUUUCGGUCAGAUAUUUUAUUAAUUGUUUUGUUUUUGAAUCAUCUAAUUAAUAUCCUCUCAUCAUAUUUUCUAUUCGAUUAAUGACAAUUGUUUGUUGAAUUGUUUGAUGUUAAUAUAAUCUCUAAAUGGUAAUUUUCUAGUUUCUUUUCUAUUCGUUGAUCAAAUUUAAUCGGUCGGACAAAUAUAGCGAAUCUCAUAACCUUUACAUCAAAUAGUUGAACCAAUCUAAGACGUAUGUUUUAUUAUUUUAAUAGAAUGAACAAUAGCAAACUAGACGGAAUAUUCUAGACGAAAUUUUUUCGUCUAGUUUAAAGCAAAUUAGACGAAUUUUUUUCCGUCUAGUUGGUCCGUCUAAAAUAACAAUAAAGAAAAUUUCCUAUUGUUCAUUUUAUUAAAAUAAUAAAACAUUAGUCUUAGAUUGUUUCAACUAUUUGAUGUAAAUGUUAUGAGAUUCUCUAUAUUCGUCCGACCGAUUAAAUUUGAUUAACCAAUAGAAAAGAAACUAGAAAAUUACUAUUUAGAGAUUAGAUUAAACAUCAAACAAUUCAACUAACAACUGCCAUUAAUCGAAAAUAGAAAAUAUGAUGAGAGGAUAUUAAUUAGAUGAUCCAAACACAAAACAAGUAAUAAAAUUUAUGACCGAAAAUAGCAACAAAAUUAAGAUCAAACAGAAACAAGAUCAUAUCAAACAACUAAGUUUCAUUAAUAGCAACCAAUGGAAUCAGAUUUGUUCAAUACAAGAUCAUAUCAAACAAAUCAAACAACUAAGUUUCAUUAAUAGCAACCAACGGAAC